GUGUGAGCAUGCCUGUCGGGA
rnacentral:siRNA from 1 species